rnacentral:rRNA from 1 species
UUUUAUGGAGAGUUUGAUCCUGGCUCAGGAUGAACGCUGGCGGCGUGCCUAAUACAUGCAAGUCGAGCGAACGGACGAGAAGCUUGCUUCUCUGAUGUUAGCGGCGGACGGGUGAGUAACACGUGGAUAACCUACCUAUAAGACUGGGAUAACUUCGGGAAACCGGAGCUAAUACCGGAUAAUAUUUUGAACCGCAUGGUUCAAAAGUGAAAGACGGUCUUGCUGUCACUUAUAGAUGGAUCCGCGCUGCAUUAGCUAGUUGGUAAGGUAACGGCUUACCAAGGCAACGAUGCAUAGCCGACCUGAGAGGGUGAUCGGCCACACUGGAACUGAGACACGGUCCAGACUCCUACGGGAGGCAGCAGUAGGGAAUCUUCCGCAAUGGGCGAAAGCCUGACGGAGCAACGCCGCGUGAGUGAUGAAGGUCUUCGGAUCGUAAAACUCUGUUAUUAGGGAAGAACAUAUGUGUAAGUAACUGUGCACAUCUUGACGGUACCUAAUCAGAAAGCCACGGCUAACUACGUGCCAGCAGCCGCGGUAAUACGUAGGUGGCAAGCGUUAUCCGGAAUUAUUGGGCGUAAAGCGCGCGUAGGCGGUUUUUUAAGUCUGAUGUGAAAGCCCACGGCUCAACCGUGGAGGGUCAUUGGAAACUGGAAAACUUGAGUGCAGAAGAGGAAAGUGGAAUUCCAUGUGUAGCGGUGAAAUGCGCAGAGAUAUGGAGGAACACCAGUGGCGAAGGCGACUUUCUGGUCUGUAACUGACGCUGAUGUGCGAAAGCGUGGGGAUCAAACAGGAUUAGAUACCCUGGUAGUCCACGCCGUAAACGAUGAGUGCUAAGUGUUAGGGGGGUUCCGCCCCUUAGUGCUGCAGCUAACGCAUUAAGCACUCCGCCUGGGGAGUACGACCGCAAGGUUGAAACUCAAAGGAAUUGACGGGGACCCGCACAAGCGGUGGAGCAUGUGGUUUAAUUCGAAGCAACGCGAAGAACCUUACCAAAUCUUGACAUCCUUUGACAACUCUAGAGAUAGAGCCUUCCCCUUCGGGGGACAAAGUGACAGGUGGUGCAUGGUUGUCGUCAGCUCGUGUCGUGAGAUGUUGGGUUAAGUCCCGCAACGAGCGCAACCCUUAAGCUUAGUUGCCAUCAUUAAGUUGGGCACUCUAAGUUGACUGCCGGUGACAAACCGGAGGAAGGUGGGGAUGACGUCAAAUCAUCAUGCCCCUUAUGAUUUGGGCUACACACGUGCUACAAUGGACAAUACAAAGGGCAGCGAAACCGCGAGGUCAAGCAAAUCCCAUAAAGUUGUUCUCAGUUCGGAUUGUAGUCUGCAACUCGACUACAUGAAGCUGGAAUCGCUAGUAAUCGUAGAUCAGCAUGCUACGGUGAAUACGUUCCCGGGUCUUGUACACACCGCCCGUCACACCACGAGAGUUUGUAACACCCGAAGCCGGUGGAGUAACCUUUUAGGAGCUAGCCGUCGAAGGUGGGACAAAUGAUUGGGGUGAAGUCGUAACAAGGUAGCCGUAUCGGAAGGUGCGGCUGGAUCACCUCCUUUCUAA